rnacentral:rRNA from 1 species
UACGAAGGGGGCUAGCGUUGCUCGGAAUUACUGGGCGUAAAGGGCGCGUAGGCGGCCUUCUAAGUCGAACGUGAAAUCCCCGGGCUCAACCCGGGAACUGCGUCCGAUACUGGAAGGCUUGAAUCCGGGAGAGGGAUGCGGAAUUCCAGGUGUAGCGGUGAAAUGCGUAGAUAUCGUAAGGAAGACCAGUGGCGAAGGCGGGUCUCUGGACAGUUCCUGACGCUGAGGCACGAAGGCCAGGGGAGCAAACGGG